rnacentral:rRNA from 1 species
AGUGGAUGGGGAGCAACCUAGUUGUGCGUGUGUAAAGGUAGUGCCAAGAAAAGCGAUGAUCAUGUUGAAAAUCAAUUCCCGGUACCCGAAACCGACACAGGUGGGCAAGUAGAGAAUACUAAGGGGCGCGAGGUAACUCUCUCCAAGGAACUCGGCAAAAUGACCCCGUAACUUAGGGAGAAGGGGUGCCACCGAGAGGUGGUCGCAGUGAAGAGGCCCAGGCGACUGUUUAGCAAAAACAUAGGUCUCUGCAAACUCGAAAGAGGAGGUAUAGGGGCUGACGCCUGCCCAGUGCCGGAAGGUUAAAGAAGUUGGUCAGUUUUAGGAUGAAGCUAGCGACUGAAGCCCCGGUGAACGGCGGCCGUAACUAUAACGGUCCUAAGGUAGCGAAAUUCCUUGUCGGGUAAGUUCCGACCCGCACGAAAGGCGUAACGAUCUGGGCGCUGUCUCGGAGAGAGGCUCGGCGAAAUAGGAUUGUCUGUGAAGAUACGGACUACCUGCAUUUGGACAGAAAGACCCUAUGAAGCUUUACUAUAGCUUGGAAUUGUGUUCGGGCUUCCUGUGCGCAGGAUAGGUGGGAGGCGUAGAAGGUAUUCUUGUGGGGAUACUGGAGCCAACGGUGAGAUACCACUCUCAGGAGGCUUGAAUCCUAACUUAAUUAAGGACAGUUUCAGGUGGGUAGUUUGACUGGGGCGGUCGCCUCCAAAAAGGUAACGGAGGCGUACAAAGGUUCCCUCAGACUGGUUGGAAAUCAGUCGAAGAGUGCAAAGGCAGAAGGGAGCUUGACUGCGAGAAGUACAGUUCGAGCAGGGUGGAAACACGGUCUUAGUGAUCCGACGGUGCUGUGUGGAAGGGCCGUCGUUCAACGGAUAAAAGUUACUCUAAGGAUAACAGGCUGAUCUCCCCCAAGAGUUCACAUCGACGGGGAGGUUUUGGCACCUCGAUGUCGGCUCAUCGCAACCUGGGGCGGAAGUACGUCCCAAGGGUUGGGCUGUUCGCCCAUUAAAGCGGUACGUGAGCUGGGUCCAGAACGUCGUGAGACAGUUCGGUCCAUAUCCGAUGUAGGCGUGAGAAUAUUGAGAGGAGCCUUCCUUAGUACGAGAGGACCGGGAAGGACGCACCGCUGGUGUACCUGUUAUGGUGCCAAUUGUAAACGCAGGGUAGCCAAGUGCGGAGAGGAUAACCGCUGAAAGCAUCUAAGUGGGAAGCCCACCUCAAGAUGAGUAUUCUGGUGUAAGGUCACGGGAAGACGACCCGUAAAUAGGCACGAGGUGGAAGUGCAGAGAUGUAUGAAGCCGAAGUGUACUAAUAGACCGUCGGCUUGACC